rnacentral:ncRNA from 1 species
UUUUUCUCAUUGAAGAGAUAAGUAGUUUAAGGCAACCUUUAGAGAGUCUGUGGUUGGUGGAAACAGAUGGUGAUAAUUAAACGAAAAUGGUCUUGGAGAGGUCAUGCCUUGAGCUGCAGUAAAAGGUGUGCGGGUAUUCCCGAUAUUGAAUACGAGUAUUAGCGAUCUAUGUAUGAUGGCAGUACUUAAGAAGGUUAUAACAGUGAUGUUAUAAUAAAUUAAAGGUGGUAACACGAGAGAUUCGUCCUUUUG